GAAAAUCAUGGGAGGGUUGUACACAUAUGUACAUUCCAGCGUGUAUCAAUAAACACUAUGUUACGAUGGACAUCGUUUUUGCUGACUCGACUAUAUAUGUGUACGAUCCAGAUCAUUCAUGUUUGACACAAGGCCAGUUGGAGCAAAACCUGGAGUCCGUAGCUGUAAUUGUUCCUAUGAUAGCCAGACGAGCGGGGAUAAAUGUACAGGACAGAUUGCGGAUCGUUCGGAACACGACGACAGCGCGACAGUCCGUAAGGUAAGUGUUUGAACUUUGUUGUUUUCAUCUUUCAGAUUUAGUUUUUAUUUACACAGUAUUGAACUGAUUCAUUCUUGUUCAAUUGCAGCGGCGACUGCGGCAUAUUUG
rnacentral:lncRNA from 1 species